GCGAACGGGUGAGUAACACGUGGGCAAUCUGCCCUGCACUCUGGGACAAGCCCUGGAAACGGGGUCUAAUACCGGAUAUGACCUGAGGAUGCAUGUUCUCGGGUGGAAAGCUCCGGCGGUGCAGGAUGAGCCCGCGGCCUAUCAGCUUGUUGGUGGGGUGAUGGCCUACCAAGGCGACGACGGGUAGCCGGCCUGAGAGGGCGACCGGCCACACUGGGACUGAGACACGGCCCAGACUCCUACGGGAGGCAGCAGUGGGGAAUAUUGCACAAUGGGCGAAAGCCUGAUGCAGCGACGCCGCGUGAGGGAUGACGGCCUUCGGGUUGUAAACCUCUUUCAGCAGGGAAGAAGCGCAAGUGACGGUACCUGCAGAAGAAGCACCGGCUAACUACGUGCCAGCAGCCGCGGUAAUACGUAGGGUGCGAGCGUUGUCCGGAAUUAUUGGGCGUAAAGAGCUCGUAGGCGGCUUGUCGCGUCGGAUG
rnacentral:rRNA from 1 species